CCUACGGGAGACAGCAGUGAGGAAUAUUGGUCAAUGGGCGAGAGCCUGAACCAGCCAAGUCGCGUGAGGGAGUACUGUCCUAUGGGUUGUAAACCUCUUUUGUCGGGGAGCAAAAGCUGGACGUGUCCGGCUGUGAGAGUACCCGAAGAAAAAGCAUCGGCUAACUCCGUGCCAGCAGCCGCGGUAAUACGGAGGAUGCGAGCGUUAUCCGGAUUUUUUGGGUUUAAAGGGUGCGCAGGCGGAUUGUUAAGUCAGCGGUCAAAUCCUGGGGCUCAACCCCAUCCAGCCGUUGAAACUGGGGAUCUAGAGUGUGCGAGAGGUAUGCGGAAUGCGUGGUGUAGCGGUGAAAUGCAUAGAUAUCACGCAGAACCCCGAUUGCGAAGGCAGCAUACCGGUGCACAACUGACGCUCAGGCACGAAAGCGUGGGUAUCGAACAGGAUUAGAUACCCUGGUAGUC
rnacentral:rRNA from 1 species